CUUGCAUUGCCAGGCCCGUCCGUCAAAGAAAAUGGAACCUGAACCUGAAUUACAUGAUGUGCUCAAUGCAGCUGUGACAGUUGUGAAUUCUGUAAAGUUCUGGCCUUUGAAUUCAUGCCUUUUUGCAAAUCUGUGUUUAGAAAUAGGUGCAGGAUAUGACAAAUUAUUGUUUCAUAUGGAAGUGAGUUAGCUAUCUCAUGGCAGAGUGCCAAAAAGAGUUUUUGAGCUUCACAAAGAGCUGCUGGGUUUUCUUUCAGUGCACAAUCCCAAGAUUGCCGCAAACUUUUCUGACCCGAUAUGCACUGCAAAGCUUGCAGACCUCACAGACAUUUUUAACUGGUGGAAUCCACUGAACCUGUUCACACAAAUGGGCAAUACCACCAUACUUGAGAUUUUCUGGAUACUAACAGCAUGACAACUGAGUGACAGAUCAUUACUCACCUUUCAACUUUGGCAGAGUACUUCAGAGUUUACUUUAAAAAUAUAAACAUGGAGAAAUAUGAUUGGGUUCGGUAUCUGUUCUCAACUUUUGCUACGUUGUCUUGCCGUUUGAGUGAAAAAGCAGAACAGGAGCUGGAUGAACUGCCCUGCAGAUUCAGGCACAGACACCUUGCCAGUUUUGGUCAACUGUUGCUGUGGAGUACCCAGUUUUAGUUACAGAAGCAAUGAAAGUGUUGCUACCUUUGCCAGCAACAUAUAUAUGUGAAGCAUCAUUCUCUACCAUGACCUUGAUGAAGACAAAGUUCAGGUCCCAACUGGAAGUGGAGAAUGAUUUACAAGUUUGCUUGUCAACCAAAGAUAGACAGACUCUGCAGUAAGAAACAGGCAUGCCCAUCUCACUGAUAUCUAUGUGGCCUUGCAGAACACCCUACACACAUUGGCCAAGUGUCUCCGCCAGAUAAGAAAGUGCCCAAGACCAAGCAAAGAAGACACAUUCGGGGAGGUACUGAACUUCUCCAAUGAAGAGAAAAGGAAACUCAAGGAGUGGAGGGAAGCCAAAAGGCAGGACAGAAAAGAAAAUCAGGCGUUUGUUAAGGACACUACUGAGCGGAUGAUUAAAGUAAUGGAGGAGCAAAUGCAGAUGCUCCAAACUGAGCAGAUGCAUGCCUGCCCUCCCCUGCAGCAGAUUCAAAACUCUUUUCUGUGUGCCCCCCCCCAAACACCGCCCGCACAGUCCUUUCCGCUUUCUGGGACUUCUCAGUUUCCCCUUCACUCCACCCCUUUGGACAAUUUUCAAAAGGAUAGCUGGACCUACACACAGCUCUGAAAGUUUGCACUUCCCUGGUACCUCCUUUCCCACCAAGCCUCUUUUGUGUGCGUGCAUGUUAUUUCCUGUGCAUGUUGUUUCUUGUGUGUAAG